CUUCAGGAAGCUGGUUUCAUAUGGUGGUUUAGAUUUAAAAAGUGAUUGUCUAGCACCAUUUGAAAUCAGUGUUCUUGGGGG
ensembl:miRNA